UGCGGCUGUAUAAUGUUGAAACACCGGUUCUCGUAGGAUAACCGAAGUUAAGCAAUGCCAAGCCUGGUCAGUACCUAGACGAGUAAACACUUGUGAAUAUCAGGUGCUGUAC